AUCGAUAUCACUAUGUGGGUCAAGAAGUUUGUUGCUGUCACUCAUACACAGAGAGAGAGAGAGGACAAGAGUUUGGGAUUUGCUUUGGGUUGCUAAGCUUCCACUGUGGACUCUGGGAAUCCAACAUUCCCUGAGAAGGUGAGAAUCUCGAGGGACUGAACAUGGAGAUUGGUGAUGCAACUGCUCCUCGUGAGAUCUUUGUUAUGUGAAUUAUUUCAAUUUGCUUUUUCUCUUUCUUUUCCAUUUUCUAAUUUUUAUUUAUCAUUUCUCUAUGACCCCAGUUGGUUUUUGUUGCUUUGCUUUACUGAUUCUAAAACACUCGCAAUGUCUCCACGGUCAACAAAAUAUCCCUAUAAACAAUCCAAAAGCAGCCAACUUUAAAAAGCAAAAGCUGCCCCCUGCCCUCUCUCUCUAUACAUGUGUGUCUACAAAUUACUUUUGUGGGUCCUACUGAACCCUGAUGCGUACAUCUUCAUUUAUUGCCGUCUGAUAAAGAAUAGCUGGUGAUGGUCUUGCAAAACAGUACUUGCAAGUAUGCUUGUUAGUAGUUGUUGGGGUCCCAUACCUACAGUAACAUAAUGUAAGCAGUAAGCUCACACUCAUUAGUUAUAAGUAUAGCCCUUGUUGUUUAUAUAGUUGUACGUGCAAUGCAGACCUCAUAGUACCCCCGUUGACCAAUUGAGUGCCAUAUCUGAUGAUCAUCAAUUGGAAGCAAAGCAUCUGCAUUAGAUUAUUAUUAUUGUCAAUGAUCAGACAAAGUUUUAUCAAGAUGGGGUUAGCACUUGAAACAGACAUUAACUUCAAGUGCAAUUCAAGUCUUGAAAGAGACAUUAGCUUCAAAUACAAUUUAAAUGGGCGUUUGUGUUUGGAUGCAGUACCCUUUUGUUCCCACGGCAUGGCUAGCAAGUCUUGAUAUAGGAGUAGGACUUGAUAGAGACAUUGGCUUCAAGUGUCUCUCUCAACAGGGAAAAUUAUCUUGUUCUAGUUAGCUCCUAGCUUCAUUUCCCAUGUUGACUUCAGGUUGAUAUAAAAUGGUACCUAAAGAAUGUGUUUUCUUUUCUA